CGUAUAUUAAAGUUGUUGCAGUUAAAAAGCUCGUAGUUGGACUUGUGCUCGUCUCUGUCUGUCCAAAAUUUUUGGUACGUGUCGGAGCGUGCAUCUUUGGGUGGAACCUGUGUGGCAUUAGGUUGUCGUGCAGGGGAGACUCAUCGUUUACUGUGAAAAAAUUAGAGUGUUCAAAGCAAGCUUAGGCUGUUGAAUAUAUUAGCAUGGAAUAAUAAGAUAGGACCUAGGUACUAUUUUGUUGGUUUGCGCACCUGGGUAAUGAUUAACAGGGACAGUUGGGGG
rnacentral:rRNA from 1 species